rnacentral:rRNA from 1 species
AUUGAACGCUGGCGGCAUGCCUUACACAUGCAAGUCGAACGGUAACAGGUUAAGCUGACGAGUGGCGAACGGGUGAGUAAUGUAUCGGAACGUGCCCAGUCGUGGGGGAUAACUGCUCGAAAGAGCAGCUAAUACCGCAUACGACCUGAGGGUGAAAGCGGGGGGUCGCAAGGCCUCGCGCGAUUGGAGCGGCCGAUAUCAGAUUAGGUAGUUGGUGGGGUAAAGGCCUACCAAGCCUACGAUCUGUAGCUGGUCUGAGAGGACGACCAGCCACAUUGGGACUGAGACACGGCCCAGACUCCUACGGGAGGCAGCAGUGGGGAAUUUUGGACAAUGGACGCAAGUCUGAUCCAGCCAUGCCGAGUGCGGGAAGAAGGCCUUCGGGUUGUAAACCGCUUUUGUCAGGGAAGAAAAGGUUCUGGUUAAUACCUGGGACUCAUGACGGUACCUGAAGAAUAAGCACCGGCUAACUACGUGCCAGCAGCCGCCGUAACAC